rnacentral:rRNA from 1 species
AUUGAACGCUGGCGGCAUGCCUUACACAUGCAAGUCGAACGGUAACAGGUCUUCGGAUGCUGACGAGUGGCGAACGGGUGAGUAAUACAUCGGAACGUGCCCGAUCGUGGGGGAUAACGCAGCGAAAGCUGUGCUAAUACCGCAUACGAUCUACGGAUGAAAGCGGGGGAUCGCAAGACCUCGCGCGGACGGAGCGGCCGAUGGCAGAUUAGGUAGUUGGUGGGAUAAAAGCUUACCAAGCCGACGAUCUGUAGCUGGUCUGAGAGGACGACCAGCCACACUGGGACUGAGACACGGCCCAGACUCCUACGGGAGGCAGCAGUGGGGAAUUUUGGACAAUGGGGGAAACCCUGAUCCAGCCAUGCCGCGUGCAGGAUGAAGGCCUUCGGUUGUAACUGCUUUGUACGGAACGAAAGGUACCUUCUAAUAAAGAGGGCUCAUGACGGUACCGUAAGAAUAAGCACCGGCUAACUACGUGCCAGCAGCCGCGGUAAU